AAAUGGUUUGUCUUGGUCCAAGCCAAAUGUCUCUUCUGCAGCUUUCAUUAUGUCUAAAUGAUGCUCUUAUCCUUAAACAGAACACACUUUCUCAGUCCCCCAGGAAGCACUUGAUUUAUUCUCCAGCCCCAGGGACAGGAGGAAGCGGAGGCUAAAGGGUAAUCACACAGCCAGGUGAGCCUCCAUUGAGCUGUAGCCUGGGAGAAAAUGGUUUUAAAUGCUGAAAGGGUUUGGUGUGAUGCCAACCUAUUCUCUAAGGAACUUGCUCAGCCUGCCCUGGAAAUUGGAUAGACAGGAAAGAAAGGAUUCAGAAUACUUCCAAAGGGGAACACCUGAGGCAGCUGUCAUCAUCCUGGCCACAGAAGAUGGUCACCAGGAACAAUGCCUGUAGUGACCUGGAAAAGAGAGACCUAGGAGAGUGUGAGUGUUCACAGCCCUGGCUCUUGGGGUUGUAGAGCCUGGGGCUUUGGCAUCCACUAAGGAUUGGUUACCCCAUUUACUGUCUAUAUUUGUUCCUAUCUGCAUAAGGAACAAGUAUAGACAAUAAGUGGGGUAACAGUACCAGGUGUUUGAAGGAAGACAGAUGUCUAGGUUAAGUUACCACUAGAAGAGUUGAUCUUGGCAUUCUGGGUUCUGAGUUUCCUCCCCUGCCAUCAAGGAUGUGAAGCUGAGUGGAAUAAGGGACACAAUCCCUGAGUUGAGGAUCUCAAAAGGCAAUUCCAGGCACAGCUGUGAAAUAAGAGUCUAAAGGACUGCUCUUAAAACUUCAUUCAUUCACUGAGACCUACUGUGCACCAAACAGGGUGUCAGGUUCCUGGGAUGCAGUGAGAAUAAGCAUGCACAUUUAUUGGGUAUGUAGGGGGACAGGCUGUGUUGCAAGUCUAAUAAUAAUUAAGUAUUCUGUCUUGGUCUGUGUUGUGUUGCCAUUAAAAAUACCUGUGGCUGGGUACUUAAAAAGAAAGGAGGUUUAUUGGGUUCACAGUUCUGGAGGUCUAAGAGAAUGGCACCAAUGUCCUGGUGAGGGUCACUUGGCUAUAUUACAACGUGGCAGAAAAGGCAAACAGUCACUUGUAGAAGGGCAUGUGUAUGAGCAAGGGAGCAAGAGACCAGGGAGGGACAGGCUCAGUCUUUUCAUAAAAACCUGUUCUCACGGGAACUAAUCCAUUUCUACCUAACCUGACUCACUCUUAUGAGACAACAUUAAUCCAUUUGUGAGGGUAGAGUCAAAUGACCUAAUAACCUCCCAUUAACCUCUUAAAGGUCCCACCUCACACUACCACACUGGGGACCAUGCUUCCAGCACAUGAACAUUUGGGGGACUCCCAUCUGAACUAUAGCCAAUGCUAAAUUCACUUCUUAUUGUAAGACAUGCUGUUGUAAUUUCUCCCCUAAAAUGAAAAUUUUUAUAAUUCAAAGAUAGCCCUUUCUAUAAUACGUCAAAGUAAAUAGUAGCAAUUCAAGAAACAUGCCCAGGCUCAGAGUAACUGGAUUCAGCUUGUGAGAUUCCUUGAAAGAGUUCUACACAAGGCCAGGGCCAACCCCAUCCCCUGAAGAGUGCCUGGCCAGCUGGAAAUACCUGCAGCUCCCUCAGCUCCAGCUUCACUUCCCAAUUUGCUCCACUUUAAUCUCUACCUUUUAUGUAAUGUCUAGUUGAGACCACAGGGUCACCUUAGCCUCUGUGGAUGAAACAGAGUAGGGUUCCUGGGGGAAUUAGAAAUUUCUUGUGACAAUGAUCUGGAAAAAGGCAGUCCCAAGCAAAGAUGGACAGCAGACACUGCAUGUUAGGCUGGAUCCUGCUCUCUGAGGUCUACUCCUUAAAGCAAGUGCACUAGAGCCAGGGGUAGAGUGGCUACCCCAUGCAUGAGGAACUUCCAUUUC
rnacentral:lncRNA from 1 species